AUAUCACUUGAUAGCUCAGUUGGUUAGAGCGUUGUGAUGAUAACGCCAAGAUUGCAGGUUUGAUCGCUGUAUGGUAGG